AAUAUUGCACAAUGGAGGAAACUCUGACGCAGCGACGCCGCGUGAGCGAAGAAGGCAUUCGGGUCGGAAAGUUCUGUCCUAGGGGACGGUAAUGACGGUACCCUAGGAGUGAGCCCCGGCUAACUACGUUCCAGCCCCCGCGGUAAUACGUAGGGGGCAAGCGUUGUCCGGAUUUAUUGGGCGUAAAGGGUUCGCAGGCGGCCUUUUAAGUCAGAUGUGAAAGACUACAGCUCAACUGUGGUAAGCAUUUGAAACUGAAAGGCUUGAGUUAAGGAGAGGAAAGUGGAAUUCCUAGUGUAGCGGUGAAAUGCGUAGAUAUUAGGAGGAAUACCAGUGGCGAAGGCGACUUUCUGGACUUAUACUGACGUUGAGGAACGAAAGCGUGGGGAGCAAACA
rnacentral:rRNA from 1 species